AGAGUUUGAUCAUGGCUCAGAUUGAACGCUGGCGGCAUGCCUUACACAUGCAAGUCGAACGGUAACGCGGGGGCAACCCUGGCGACGAGUGGCGAACGGGUGAGUAAUACAUCGGAACAUAUCCAGUAGCGGGGGAUAACCUAUCGAAAGAUGGACUAAUACCGCAUACGAUCUACGGAUGAAAGCAGGGGACCGCAAGGCCUUGCACUAUUGGAGUGGCCGAUGUCGGAUUAGCUAGUUGGUGGGGUAAAAGCUUACCAAGGCGACGAUCCGUAGCUGGUCUGAGAGGACGAUCAGCCACACUGGAACUGAGACACGGUCCAGACUCCUACGGGAGGCAGCAGUGGGGAAUUUUGGACAAUGGGCGCAAGCCUGAUCCAGCCAUGCCGCGUGAGUGAAGAAGGCCUUCGGGUUGUAAAGCUCUUUCGGUGAAGACGAAACGGUUCAUGCUAAUAACGUGAACUAAUGACGGUACUCACAGAAGAAGCACCGGCUAACUACGUGCCAGCAGCCGCGGUAAUACGUAGGGUGCAGGCGUUAAUCGGAAUUACUGGGCGUAAAGCGUGCGCAGGCGGUUUGCUAAGACAGGUGUGAAAUCCCCGGGCUUAACCUGGGAAUUGCGCUUGUAACUGGCAAGCUAGAGUGUGGCAGAGGGGGGUGGAAUUCCACGUGUAGCAGUGAAAUGCGUAGAUAUGUGGAGGAACACCGAUGGCGAAGGCAGCCCCCUGGGUUAACGCUGACGCUCAUGCACUAAAGCGUGGGGAGCAAACAGGAUUAGAUACCCUGGUAGUCCACGCCCUAAACUAUGUCAACUAGUUGUCGGGGAAGAAAUUCCUUGGUAACGAAGCUAACGCGUGAAGUUGACCGCCUGGGGAGUACGGCCGCAAGGUUAAAACUCAAAGGAUUGACGGGGACCCGCACAAGCGGUGGAUUAUGUGGAUUAAUUCGAUGCAACGCGAAAAACCUUACCUACCCUUGACAUGCUAGGAAGCCCGCAGAGAUGUGGUGUGCCCGAAAGGGAACCUAGACACAGGUGCUGCAUGGCUGUCGUCAGCUCGUGUCGUGAGAUGUUGGGUUAAGUCCCGCAACGAGCGCAACCCUUGCCAUUAGUUGCUACAUUCAGUUGGGCACUCUAAUGGGACCGCCGGUGACAAACCGGAGGAAGGUGGGGAUGACGUCAAGUCCUCAUGGCCCUUAUGGGUAGGGCUUCACACGUAAUACAAUGGUCGGUACAGAGGGCUGCCAACCCGCAAGGGGGAGCUAAUCCCAGAAAGCCGAUCGUAGUCCGGAUUGUAGUCUGCAACUCGACUGCAUGAAGCCGGAAUCGCUAGUAAUCGCGGAUCAGCAUGUCGCGGUGAAUACGUUCCCGGGUCUUGUACACACCGCCCGUCACACCAUGGGAGUGGGUUCCACCAGAAGUAGUUAGCCUAACCGCAAGGAGGGCGAUUACCACGGUGAGAUUCAUGACUGGGGUGAAGUCGUAACAAGGUA
rnacentral:rRNA from 1 species